AGUGAACGCUGGCGGUAGGCCUAACACAUGCAAGUCGAACGGCAGCACAGUAAGAGCCUGCUCUUACGGGUGGCGAGUGGCGGACGGGUGAGGAAUACAUCGGAAUCUACUUUUUCGUGGGGGAUAACGUAGGGAAACUUACGCUAAUACCGCAUACGACCUACGGGUGAAAGCAGGGGAUCUUCGGACCUUGCGCGAUUGAAUGAGCCGAUGUCGGAUUAGCUAGUUGGCGGGGUAAAGGCCCACCAAGGCGACGAUCCGUAGCUGGUCUGAGAGGAUGAUCAGCCACACUGGAACUGAGACACGGUCCAGACUCCUACGGGAGGCAGCAGUGGGGAAUAUUGGACAAUGGGCGCAAGCCUGAUCCAGCCAUACCGCGUGGGUGAAGAAGGCCUUCGGGUUGUAAAGCCCUUUUGUUGGGAAAGAAAAGCAGCAGGUUAACACCCCGCUGUUCUGACGGUACCCAAAGAAUAAGCACCGGCUAACUUCGUG
rnacentral:rRNA from 1 species